UUAAACUUUGAUAUGCUCCUGUCCCCCAGGCUGAAUUUUCUUUUGAAGUUUCCAUGCAGUUAAUACUGAUCUUGUUCUUAAAAACGUGUCUGGGAUUCACCUUCUAGAUGGUGUCUCUACCACAGACAAUCUUUUGGUCCUGGCCAGGUGGUCCUGAGGAUCCUGCCAGGAAGAGAUGGCUGCUCCUUGGCCACUCUUGCUUUAUUACUGGCCUUGGGACAUCGUCAGAAUGGACAUAUUUUGACAUCCUCGGUACUUUGAAGAUGUUUCCACUUCCCUUCGAAGAUGUUCAAUGUCCGUACAUAGAAUGAAAGGUGCCACCUUCUCCAGCAUGAGACAUAUCCCCAUGUGAUCCCUUACCACGCAGACUCCUGGCUGAGUUAGGAAGAAAGAAUAGAAGUCAAUGCAUUCCAUUUGUUUUCAAGGCACACCCAAAAAGUAUGAACUUAGAUAUAUCACAGAGCUUCCAAUUUACCUGCCUGUAUUUACAAAAUAAGUGUAUGAUUUCUCCCGAAACAUUAUUUUUUGCAAGUUACAUGCCAAUAACCACCACUGAACAUAAGCUGAUAUUUUUGCUGAAUGAAGGAUUGUGAAUUAUCCUUGUAGCUUUCUUUGACUUCAUUACACAUUUCAAUUACUUCUCUAAACACUGACUGCCGCCAUAAAAUAUCUUUAGUUCUUUUCCCCUAUGAAAUGUGCUGCCAAUAAUAAUAUUUUACUAGAAAAUAAUGCAAUAAAUUAGCAUGAUCACAACCUAGAAUUAUAUAAAAUAAUAUUUGCUUUGUAUUCAAGUGAACCUUUCCAUGGACAGAAACAAGCACCUUGUCAUAUUUUAAGUAAACAUUAAUUAUGAAAAACAAAUUAUUUGCAAGGAGGCAAUACAAAAGUGGACGCUGGAGUUCUAUGUUAGAGUAAAUAUCUGACAGAUUUAAUAUGGAACUUUCUUUUAAAGUCUUAAGUUUUCAGUGCUCUUAUUGGCAAAUGAUGUAUUAGACCUAGUAACGUAAAACACAAUGAAAUAGAUUGUAUCUACUGGAAACAUUAGUACUCAUUAGAUCUGAUAACUGUGAGUCUAAAUGUGAAAUCUCUACUUUAUGAAUUAUCACAGAUGGUAUUGUAGAUGAUGUCUUCACGCUCUUUUGCCAAAUAAACUCCUUAUUAAAGGAGGCCCUGAGGAUGAUUAAAACAAAAUUUAGGGCAAUGGUUGCAUUAGAGGAAAGCAAAGGAGGAGAAAAUUAGAGAAGUGCGCCCAGGAGGCAUGAGCAGUAUUCGUAAUGUUUUAUUUCCAAAUUAUACCUUAUGUGCACCACCAUUUGCUAUACUAUUCUUGAUAUCUAUAACAAGAUAUUAUGUGCGGAUUCUUUCAGGACUCAGAAAACGAUGGAUGGCAAGUACUCCCCCUUUCCAAAGUGAGGUGCUGACCACUGGUAAUGCAGUAAAUCUUGAGGGUAUCAAAGGAUUGAAAUGGAAGAGCCCUGAAAAUUGGACAUUAAAAAGGCAUUAAUUUCAAGAGCAUUUUCUCUGUCCUGUAAUUUCC
rnacentral:lncRNA from 10 species